rnacentral:rRNA from 1 species
GUGGGGAAUAUUGCACAAUGGGGGAAACCCUGAUGCAGCCAUGCCGCGUGUGUGAAGAAGGCCUUUGGGUUGUAAAGCACUUUCAGUAUGGAGGAAGUGUAGUAUGUUAACAGCAUGCUGCAUUGACGUUACAUACAGAAGAAGCACCGGCUAACUCCGUGCCAGCAGCCGCGGUAAUACGGAGGGUGCGAGCGUUAAUCGGAAUAACUGGGCGUAAAGAGCUCGUAGGCGGUUUGUCAAGUCAGAUGUGAAAGCCCCGGGCUUAACCUGGGAACCGCAUUUGAAACUGACAGACUAGAGUACUGUAGAGGGAGGUAGAAUUCCAGGUGUAGCGGUGAAAUGCGUAGAUAUCUGGAGGAAUACCGGUGGCGAAGGCGGCCUCCUGGACAGAGACUGACGCUGAGGAGCGAAAGCGUGGGGAGCAAACAGG